AUCAAUAAGCGGAGGAAAAGAAACCAACUGGGAUUGCCCUAGUAACGGCGAGUGAAGCGGCAAUAGCUCAAAUUUGAAAUCUGGCUCCCUUUGGGGGUCCGAGUUGUAAUUUGCAGAGGGUGCUUUGGCGUUGGUGGCGGUCUAAGUUCCUUGGAACAGGACAUCGCAGAGGGUGAGAAUCCCGUUUGUGGUCGCCUGCCUUCGCCGUGUAAAGCCCCUUCGACGAGUCGAGUUGUUUGGGAAUGCAGCUCUAAAUGGGAGGUAAAUUUCUUCUAAAGCUAAAUACUGGCCAGAGACCGAUAGCGCACAAGUAGAGUGAUCGAAAGAUGAAAAGCACUUUGGAAAGAGAGUCAAACAGCACGUGAAAUUGUUGAAAGGGAAGCGCUUGCAGCCAGACUUGCCCGUAGUUGCUCACCCAGGCUUUUGCCCGGGGCACUCUUCUGCGGGCAGGCCAGCAUCAGUUUGGGCGGUCGGAUAAAGGCCUCUGUCACGUAUCUUCCUUCGGGAUGACCUUAUAGGGGAGGCGACAUGCGACCAGCCCGGACUGAGGUCCGCGCUUCUGCUAGGAUGCUGGCGUAAUGGCUGUAAGCGGCCCGUCUUGAAACACGGACCAAGGAGUCUAACAUCUAUGCGAGUGUUUGGGUGUCAAGCCCGAGCGCGUAAUGAAAGUGAACGGAGGUGGGAACCCUUUGGGUGCACCAUCGACCGAUCCUGAUGUCUUCGGAUGGAUUUGAGUAAGAGCAUAGCUGUUGGGACCCGAAAGAUGGUGAACUAUGCUUGAAUAGGGUGAAGCCAGAGGAAACUCUGGUGGAGGCUCGCAGCGGUUCUGACGUGCAAAUCGAUCGUCAAAUUUGGGCAUAGGGGCGAAAGACUAAUCGAACAAUGG
rnacentral:rRNA from 1 species